CAGCGGGGUGGUAAUUUCAUCUAAAGCUAAAUAUGGGCCCGAGACCGAUAGCCCNNNAGUANANGUGAUCGAAAGAUGAAAAGCACUUUGAAAAGAGAGUUCAAGAGUACGUGAAAUUGUUGAAAGGGAAGCGCGGGUCACCAGACGUGGGCGGGAUCGGUUCCCCCGAUCGGCAGAUGUGGGCUACUCCGUCCCGUCCAGGCCAACAUCGGUUCGGGUGGUCGGUCAAAGGUCCCGGGAACGUACCGACUCUUCGGGGUCGACUUACAGCCCGGGGCGUCAUGCGACCCACCCGGACCGAGGAACGCGCUCCGGCUCGGAUGUUGGCGUAAUGGUGAUCCGCGACCCGUCUUGAAACACGGACCAAGGAGUCUAACCGCUGUGCGAGUGUGGGGGUGUCAAGCCCCGGCGCGGAAUGAAGGUGAACGCAGGUCAGAACCCCGCUUCGGGGCGCACGAUCGACCGAUCCGGAUGUCCUCGGAUGGAUUUGAGUAUGAGCAUGGCGGUUGGGACCCGAAAGAUGGUGAACUAUGCCUGGAUAGGGUGAAGCCAGAGGAAACUCUGGUGGAGGCUCGCAGCGGUUCUGACGUGCAAAUCGAUCGUCAAAUCUGGGUAUAGGGGCGAAAGACCAAUCGAACCAUCUGGUAGCUGGUUCCUGCCGAAGUUUCCCUCAGGAUAGCAGUAACGGCGUCAGUUUUAUGAGGUAAAGCGAAUGAUUAGCGGCCCNGGGGGNGGNNNNNNNNNNNNNNNUUCUCAAACUUUAAAUAUGUAAGAAGUCUCG
rnacentral:rRNA from 1 species